GAUGAACGCUGGCGGCGUGCUUAACACAUGCAAGUCGAACGAAGCACUUUAUUUGAUUUCCUUCGGGACUGAUUAUUUUGUGACUGAGUGGCGGACGGGUGAGUAACGCGUGGGUAACCUGCCUUGUACAGGGGGAUAACAGUUGGAAACGGCUGCUAAUACCGCAUAAGCGCACAGCAUCGCAUGAUGCAGUGUGAAAAACUCCGGUGGUAUAAGAUGGACCCGCGUUGGAUUAGCUAGUUGGUGAGGUAACGGCCCACCAAGGCGACGAUCCAUAGCCGACCUGAGAGGGUGACCGGCCACAUUGGGACUGAGACACGGCCCAAACUCCUACGGGAGGCAGCAGUGGGGAAUAUUGCGCAAUGGGCGAAAGCCUGAUGCAGCGACGCCGCGUGAGCGAAGAAGUAUUUCGGUAUGUAAAGCUCUAUCAGCAGGGAAGAUAAUGACGGUACC
rnacentral:rRNA from 1 species